rnacentral:rRNA from 1 species
GGAAUAUUGGACAAUGGGCGCAAGCCUGAUCCAGCCAUGCCGCGUGCAGGAUGACGGUCCUAUGGAUUGUAAACUGCUUUUGUACAGGAAGAAACACUCCGACGUGUCGGAGCUUGACGGUACUGUAAGAAUAAGGAUCGGCUAACUCCGUGCCAGCAGCCGCGGUAAUACGGAGGAUCCAAGCGUUAUCCGGAAUCAUUGGGUUUAAAGGGUCCGUAGGCGGUUUAAUAAGUCAGUGGUGAAAGCCCAUCGCUCAACGGUGGAACGGCCAUUGAUACUGUUAGACUUGAAUUAUUAGGAAGUAACUAGAAUAUGUAGUGUAGCGGUGAAAUGCUUAGAGAUUACAUGGAAUACCAAUUGCGAAGGCAGGUUACUACUAAUUGAUUGACGCUGAUGGACGAAAGCGUGGGUAGCGAACAGGAUUAGAUACCCUGG